rnacentral:rRNA from 1 species
UUCGCAAUGCCCGAAAGGGUGACGAAGCGACGCCGCGUGUGGGAAGAAGGCCUUCGGGUUGUAAACCACUGUCGGGAGUUAAGAAAUGCAAGAAUGUUAAUAGCGUUUUUGCUUGACUAAGGCUCCGGAGGAAGCCACGGCUAACUCUGUGCCAGCAGCCGCGGUAAUACAGAGGCGGCAAGCGUUGUUCGGAAUUAUUGGGCGUAAAGAGCACGUAGGCGGCUAUAUAAGUCGGUUGUGAAAGCCUUCCGCUCAACGGGAGAACAGCAUCCGAUACUGUGUGGCUUGAGUGUGGGAGGGGAGAGCGGAACUUCUGGUGGAGCGGUGAAAUGCGUAGAUAUCAGAAGGAACGCCGGCGGCGAAAGCGGCUCUCUGGCCCAUAACUGACGCUGAGUGUGCGAAAGCUAGGGGAGCAAACGGGAUUAGAUACCCCGGUAGUUCUAGCCGUAAACGAUGGGCACUAAGUAGAGGGGUU